AAUUUGAAUGGAAUGCAGUCACUGGAUGAGGGUACAGAGAAUCCCUGAGCAGAAUCCUGGGUGUUUGUUUCUUUCCUGUGGUCCUGCCCUGCCCAGGCCUCUGAGAAAUGCAGAGCCUUUCCUCUCCCCAUCCCUCCCUCUCCCUCAGAGGUGAUUUUGAAAGGUCUCAGCUUCUUAUGCAUACCCCUUGGGGUCAGGAGAUUAUUUUUUUGACAUUUGCCUUCUGGCAGAGCUGGGACCAAUGAGUGGGAGGUGGAUUUUGGCGGAACACAGGAGGAAUUCUCUUAGUCAGAGCCAUCCAAAAAUGGAAAGACCUGACUCAGAAGACAGCGUGUCCCCUGCCUGCAUAAGGUCCUGGUGAGGUCCUGUCAAGGGUGCUCUGCCCUGUGCUUUGACAGAUGAGGAUGUCAAGACUUGGAGUAGGUGACAGUUGGCCUUGGGCUUCGGUGGCCAACCCAUGACUACAAAAGCCCGAGAAGCCAGCAGCUUCCCCGGCUCCUCCACCAAGUGGCCUCUGGGUGAUGGGGAAGCUUGUCCUCUGCUUUGUCACACACAAAACUCUAAAAGUCAGCAUCCCAACGCAUCGGCCUGGAGAGCCCGUCCAGGAGGAUUUAUGUGGAAUCUGGCUUUUCUGAUAGCAUCGACGUUCCUUCCCGUGCCUUCUGAGUCUGUUUCUCUUAAUUUGACUGUGGUCUCUGCUCUUCGCUGGACUCAGUGUUGAACAGGACACUGAAGGACAAGGAGGAACUUAUCCAUGGAGGGGGUAGGGGGAGAUGUCACAAAUUCUGCACCAGAAUCUCACAAAUCACAAAGAACUUACUCAUGUAACGAAACACCACCUGUUUCCCAGUAACUAUGGAAAUAAAAAAAAAUUAAUAAUAAAAAAUUUAAAAAAUAAAA
rnacentral:lncRNA from 1 species